rnacentral:rRNA from 1 species
ACGGUCCUAAGGUAGCGAAAUUCCUUGUCAGGUAAGUUCUGACCCGCACGAAAGGUGUAACGAUUUGGGCGCUGUCUCGGCAGCAGACUCGGUGAAAUCUUAGUACCUGUGAAAAUGCAGGUUACCCGCAACUAGACGGAAAGACCCCAUGGAGCUUUACUGCAGCCUGAUAUUGAAUUCUGGUCAUACAUGUACAGGAUAGGUGGGAGACAAAGAGACGUGCACGCCAGUGUACGAGGAGUCGGCGUUGGGAUACCACUCUUGUGUGACCGGGGUUCUAACCUGGUAUCGAGAACAGGUACGGGGAGAGUGUCAGGUGGGCAGUUUGACUGGGGCGGUCGCCUCCCAAAGAGUAACGGAGGCGCCCAAAGGUACGCUCAGAUUGGAUGGAAACCAAUCGUCGAGUGCAAUUGCAGAAGCGUGCUUGACUGUGAGACAGACAAGUCGAACAGGGACGAAAGUCGGGAAUAGUGAUCCGGCGGUGCCGAAUGGAAGGGCCGUCGCUCAACGGAUAAAAGCUACCCUGGGGAUAACAGGCUGAUCUCGCCCAAGAGUUCACAUCGACGGCGAGGUUUGGCACCUCGAUGUCGGCUCAUCGCAUCCUGGAGCUGGAUUCGGUUCCAAGGGUUGGGCUGUCCGCCCAUUAAAGCGGUACGCGAGCUGGGUUCAGAACGUCGUGAGACAGUUCGGUCCCUAUCUGUUGUGGGCGAAGGAGAUCUGCGGAGAGCUGUCCUCAGUACGAGAGGACCGGGAUGGACCUACCGCUGGUGCACCGGUUGUUCCGCCAGGGGCAUAGCCGGGUAGCUAAGUAGGGAAAGGAUAAGCGCUGAAAGCAUCUAAGCACGAAGCCUACUCCAAGAUGAGAUCUCCCAUUCGCAAGAAGUAAGACCCCUUAAAGACGAUAAGGUAGAUAGGCCAGGGAUGGAAGUGCAGUGAUGUACGGAGUUGACUGGUACUAAUCGGUCGAGGACUUAAUCAG